CCCACUUGAAACCUUGUAGUUGCAACCGUAGUUUGAAACUUGUAGUUGCGACCUGAUUCAGUUGCGACCCCACUUUGAAAUCUCACAGUUGGACCCAACUUGAAAACUUACAGUUAUUACCCUAUUUGAAGACUUGCAGUUGCAAUCGCACUUAAAAAGCUUGCAGUUGCAACCCCACUUAGAAUCUUGCAGUUCUAACCCCACUUUGAAAUCUUGCAGUUACAACCCAAGUUAAAAACUUACACUUACAAUCCUAUUUGAAGACUUGCAGUUGCUCCCUGACUUGAAAACUUGCAGUUGGAACCCCGGCACAGUUACAACCCAUUUGAAUCAUUCGAAAAAGAUGUUUUAACAAAAAAAUGAUAACACAUAAAAGACGGGUCUCAAUGUCAUGUUUUCAAGUUAGUUUAGUAAAUAAUUAUAAAAAAAUAACACAUAAAAAUAAUCACAAAAAGGUAAAAGUAAAUAUGAAAAGGGUCAUUUACAUUUCAGCCCCUAACUCGAACCACCAACUCACAUUUACCCCUAAUUCCGAAGUGUGCUCAAAUUUGCCCCUCUUCCGUUAAGUGCGGUUAUAGAAAUGCCCUUUCGUACAUUUUCCAUCUGGUCAAAGGCGUAUAGAAGACCUUUGACCAGAUGGAAAAUGUAAGGAAGGGCAUUUCUAUAACCGCACCUAACGGAAGAGGGGCAAAUUUGAGCACACUUUGAAAUUAGGGGCAAAUUUGAGUAGUGAGUUCCAAUUAAGGGCACAAAUGUAACUCAUAUGAAAAUGGUAACAAAAAAGUAAAUAAAAAAUAAUGGAACAAAAAGGAAACGAAAAAUAAAUAAAUACCGCAUAAAGAUAUUC
rnacentral:lncRNA from 1 species